rnacentral:rRNA from 1 species
AAUCCAUAGGUUAAUGAGGCGAACCGGGGGAACUGAAACAUCUAAGUACCCCGAGGAAAAGAAAUCAACCGAGAUUCCCCCAGUAGCGGCGAGCGAACGGGGAGGAGCCCAGAGCCUGAAUCAGCAUGUGUGUUAGUGGAAGCGUCUGGAAAGGCGCGCGAUACAGGGUGACAGCCCCGUACACAAAAGCGCAUGUGCUGUGAGCUCGAUGAGUAGGGCGGGACACGUGGUAUCCUGUCUGAAUAUGGGGGGACCAUCCUCCAAGGCUAAAUACUCCUGACUGACCGAUAGUGAACCAGUACCGUGAGGGAAAGGCGAAAAGAACCCCGGCGAGGGGAGUGAAAAAGAACCUGAAACCGUGUACGUACAAGCAGUGGGAGCACAGGUUUACCUGUGUGACUGCGUACCUUUUGUAUAAUGGGUCAGCGACUUAUAUUCUGUAGCAAGGUUAACCGUAUAGGGGAGCCGGAGGGAA